CUCUCCCUUUUAAAUAAAAAUAAACAAACCAACAUUUUUUUAAAAGAGGGAGCUUCUGCAGAGACUAUCCAGAAAGCUUCUGGGUCACUGGAACCAUGGUGACCGGCACAGCUUUAUCAGAGCUGUCACCUCUUAGGGCCAUUGACCUAAUCUAUAGCCCAAAAUACACAGCGCUGGGCAUGAGUCAGAAAGCCCAUAGUAAUGAGUGCACUCCCCAUCAGCUUUUUACUCUCCCUAGCCCCCACUCCCUUCAAAGCACACACUUAGACACACACCCAUUUUUCUCUCUCAAAAGAGGGGAUAAUUAAAAAACCAAAAUCCAAACAUCCAGCAGAAGUUUAUGCUUGAGUCUCAGCACACAACAUAUGGCACCCCAGGCAUUGCCAGGCUCUGCAAACCACAGCGAGAGAGGGCUUGAGCCUCCAAUAGGUCCCCCAGCCUUGGGGCCAUUUGCUGAGAGAGGCAGUGCCCCUCCCCCCAAGGCUGGGGAUGGGGUCAUGAUUUCAACCUUUUGAAUUUCAGGCAAAAUUAAGAUUUUUCUCUCUUUUGGAAGCACUCCAGAAAGAGGGAUUCGAAUGCUUUCCUUCCGUGCUUCUGUCAUUCCUGCACUCCCCUCUCAGCCUCGCCUUUAGAGGCCUAGGGGACUGGGGAGGGAGGACUUGGAGCAGGAGCUCUCUCUGCAUGCUGCACUGUCCCUCUGCAGGCAGGGAAGCUCUGGGGUGUGGCAGCAGGCAGGCACUGGCGAGAACCCCGAAGGGAACAAGGAACCUUGGGACAAGUGUAGGGGCUGGGACUCCCCACAUGGGAAAGUGCUGUCCACUGUGCCACGGGGGACCCACAGUGCCCCCUGGAACUCUGGCUCAGAACAUUUGGUCUGAACUGUCUCCAAAGGAAGUUUUUUUGGUUUGUCUUUGUUUGUUUGUUUGAAAGGCAGAGAGAAGAGAUCUUGUAUCCAUUGAUUCAUUCCCCGAAUUCCUGCAACAGCCAGGGCUGGGCCAGGUUGAAGCCAGGAGCCAGAACUCAACCCAAGUCUCCCAUGUGGGUGGCAGAGACCCAAGGACUUGAGCCAUCACUGGAUGCCUCCCAGGUGCACAGUAGCAGCUAACUGGAAUUGGAGGCAGAGCCAGGACUUGAACUCAGGCACUCUGGUAUAGAUGCAGACAUCUCAAGUGGUGUCUAGACCUCUGCAUCAAAUACACAGUUGCAUAAUAAGCAGGUUUUCAUUGGAGACAUGGACUGUCUCCACUGGCGGGCAGAUAACUCAACCACAAUGUUGCCCACUUGGGUGAAAUUCCUGCCUGCUAGAUCCGGUUCAGUUUCCAAAUCUUGGUUACCAGCCCAGGCUGAAGAGGGGAACACCAGGAAGGUUUGCUGGAGGGAGAGAGAGGGAAAAUCCCCCCCACCCAUCCCAGUGGAAGACUUUGGAUGUAAUGUGUACAUCACAGAGAGAAUCAUGUCCUCUGUACUCUCAUCUCCCUCCUCCUCUUCUGCCCAGGCCUUGCCCGAGAUCAGCACCAAGAUUUCCCACACACAGUGUAACAAGCUGAACCGGACUUAACACAAAGCUCUGGAUCAGGGCUCCCCUUAAGACCAGCCUGUUUUCACGGUGACUUCCUUAGGUCCACCUCUCAGCCAGGGCCUGGUUGCCUCUGUGUGGCCAAAACGCCCAUCCUCUAAGUGCCAGAAAAAUCCUCAAGGAUCGCCAGACUCCCUGGAGCCCUAGCAUCCGCGAGCAAGGCCCAAAGCCAUGGGGAGUCUCUCUUGCUCUCCCACCACCCUUGCAAACACUGCUACCCCUGGACUGACUCCAGGGAAUCGAUCCUGCCCUGUAGUCCCACAGGAUAAUCUCAUCAGCAGUAGCAUAAGCACUUUCCUGGUAGUAGCUGAGGCAGGGUGGGGAGGGGGUGUCCUUGUCACACCCCCGUGUCUGGAACAUGUGGUCUACCACAUGCAUUAGGCGUGGCUGUGCCUGCAGGUCCAUAGUGGGAGACUAUGGACACUCCUGGCGUCAGAGGCAGUGUCAGUUGUCCUCAGUGCGGGCUGGGGAGAUGGUGGCUAUAUUUAGAUUCCCUAGUACCUGAGCGCAGCAAAGGGGGAAAGAGCCCCUAGGAAAGUGUGUAUUUUCCAUGGCUGCACCCCUGUGAUGACGCCACCCGUGCCUUCUGGCUGACCCCAGACUUCUCGAUGUUCUCCAGGAACUGUUGGUGGCAGUUCUGCAACUGUGAAAAGUCACAGCGGGGCUGGCCAACCAUCAGCAAACGACUUCCUGUCAUCUUCCCCUGCUGUCUUCCAACAGCCCAGCCCCCGUGACACUGGGUCGGCACCUGCCUGGUGAGAAUGAACUCGACUGCAAGUAGACUUCUCACCCAAGAUUUUAAACACACCCAAGAAAAGUAGAUGCGUCUGUAACUGGUCUAAUGUUUACAUUCGUUCAGUGCUUUUCUUGUUCCAAAACCACCUGACAGAAAACCCUAGGCCUUCAGGUUCACGAAUAUGGCUGAGGCAGCACAUGGCCCCAGUGUUUAGUGCUGAGUGGAUCUGUGGAGGCUAUGGAGUCUGACGGACUCGGGUUUGAACCCCACUGCUCCCUCCAGCCCUCUGGCUUCGGGUGCGCUUUUUAACCUCUGAAUGCCUGCAUUCUGAUCUGGAAAGUGUCAUAGUUAACUUGCCUGAUGGGAUUGUGUGAAGAGUAAGUAUGAUGACAUCUGUAAAAGCAAAUUAACAGAGCACAAAGCAGACCUUUGAUCUCAGGCCUUUUCAUAUUAAUAAUAAUGAUAGCAUGGAAUACAGAAAACCUUUUGGAUUGGAGCCAUUAAAGGGACAGAGAUGAAAAGCCAGCUCACAGGUCAUGUGUGUUCUGUGGAGAGAGGGAACUGUCCCGUUCCUACUUCAGUCUAAUAUAAAUCCUUUGAGUGACUCUGGCAAUAAGAAUUUAAAAAUAACAUUUAUCAGGGCCAGCGCUGUGGCGCAAUGGGUUAAGCUGCUGUCUGCAGUGCCAGCAUCCCGUAUGGGCUGCUGCAUCCCCCAGCUGCUCCACUUCCAAUCCAGCUCCCUGCUAAUGCACCUGGGAAAGCAGCGGAGGAUGGCCCACGUGCUUGGGCCCCUGCACCUGCAUGGGAGACCCAGAAGAAGCUCCUGGCUUCUGGCUUCACCCUGUCUCAGCCUAGGUCAUUGCAACCAUUUAGGGAGUGAACCAGCAGAUGGAAGAUCUCUCUCUCUCUCUCUCUCUCUCUCUCUCUCUCUGUAACUCUGACUUUCAAAUAAAUAAAUCUUAUUCUUAAAAAUAACAUUUAUUGAGCAUUUUCCAUGUGCCAACACUAGUCUAAGAAUCUAAGAUGGUUAUCUUAAUCCUCAUUACAACCCAUUGCGGUAGAUAUUAUUACCUGCCUAUUUUGCAGGUGAUUAACUAAGACACUGAGAUUCAAUACGUUGCCCAAGUCCAUACAGCUAAUAAUCAAUAGAACCAGGAAUUCAAUUCCCAUGUCUGAGCCUCCAUUUUCAGGUAAACUGGCUUAGAUACCCACAAAUACCCCAAAUUCUAUGCCUGUGCUAAAUGUACCUGGAGAACUUUCUGGAGUAUAUAGGAAUUUGGAAUGUUUAUGAUGUUUGUGAUGUUUGUGAUGGAAUAAAAAUGGCUUAGGAAACUUGAAAUAUCCUAAAAAGGUUGUACAUGUUCCCUGCACCUUUCUCUCCCUGCUCUCUCCUUGUUUUUCCUCUUCUUCCUCCCUAAAAUAAGUCUCCACCUGUAGCAUGCACCACGGGGACAUCAGAAGUAGGCAUCUGUUCCCCCACACACGUCAAGGAGCCUCCUGACGCCGUCGGGCGUAGCAGUGUGAAAGAUCAUCCCAGCUGUGGCCUUUCUUGCAUAACCUAAAAUGUUAAAACAUAUCCUUUACCAAUAAAACUUCUCAACGAGUUGUCUACACUGGCUGUUUCCAUUUCCUGUCCUCCUCGUCUCUCUUGAACUUGUUCCAGCCAGGCUUUUGUCACACCUCCCAUGUAAACUGGUCACGUGAAGGUCAUGGUCAUAGCCAGUGGUCAGUGCCACUGUGCAUCAGCAGCAUUCAGUGCUGAGCAGCCAGCUCUGUUCUCUAAACGCACCCUUGAAGUCGCUCCAGGUGGUCGUCUGUCUUCUGUUGCUGUGACAAAAUACUCCACACGGAUGAGAGGUUCACUUCCCUGACCGUGUUGGAGGCCAAGUCUAAGAUCUGUUCCACCUCCAGUAAGGACCUGAUGGCAAACAGUGGCACCACAGAAGGAGCCCCUGCAGAAAUGCCAUGGCGGGACUGGAUGCCAGAGAGUCAAGACCUGAUUUUUAUAACUACUCACGCUCACGGGAAGUACAUGGGAGCCCACAAGAUCAACCUUACCUUUCUGAGGGCAGCACCCAUAGCCUAGCCACCUCCCACUAGGUCCCGUAUCUCAAAGAUUCCCCCACUCUUAACAUUGCCACGCUGGGAACCAAAGCACAAGUCACAUAACUCCCAGGAGGUUCUUCCCCCUGGGUCUUCCUACCUCCAUAGCUGCUUCUACUCUGACUUCCUUUACAGCCCCUCAUCUCCCCUCCUUUAAAGACAGGAGGGCCCCAGGCUGAAACCAAGGACCCCUUCUCUUAUGGUGUCUGAAGCCAGUCCUGAGAGGUUCCCAUCCAGACUUCUGGCCUUCAGUAUCAGCCAUCGACUGACAACACCUGCAUUUCUAUCCCAGCUCACUCUUCGCGGCUGUUUUCUGGACUAUCCAUACUCAGCAUCUCUUUAUAGACAUCGAAUGUUGGUCUUAAACAUGGCUCCUCCUGUGGAAUUUUGUCAUCCCCCGGUAGGGUAAUUCCUUCCUUCCAGACAGGCAGGUCUCACACCAUGGAGUCGUCCUAAGGGUCUUGCUUCUUUCUGCAUCCCAUCCACCAGCAAACCUGCCUGCUUCGCCGCCCCGCCCCCGACGCUGGUCCAGGUCCCCAGUACUCACUCAUCUGUGGUUGCACUCGCCUCCAACUCCGUCUCCCUGCUUUUACUUUCCUACAGUCUACCCUCGUCAAAAUAGUCCCAGAGCCUUCCAAAUUGUAGGGCAGACUGAGUCACUCACUGCUCCAAGCGCCCCAGUGUUUUUCCCAUCACAAAGUAGAAAUCUAAAGCCUCCAAAUUGGGCUCCCUUUCCAGCUCUCUGGCUCUUCCUUCCUAUCACCCACCUCCAUGCUCAACCUGCUGAAGCCACGUGCCCUACUCAUUGUUCCUUGAAUACACCAAACAUGCUACUGCUUCGGGUCGUCUGCACCUGCCGGUCCCUGUACCAAGAAAGCUCUUCACAUGGAUACCACGUGGCUGCGCCUUCUCUGAUUCAUUUAUUGCCUCAUCGGAUCUCUCUGUGUAAAACAGGAAGAUCCUCUUUUCCUGCUUUAUUCUUCCUUCUCUGAUUUAUUCUUUCCCCAAAACACUUACUGUGAAGUGCACGUAUUUGUCUAUUGUCUGUCCUUUCCUCUAGCCUGCAUUCCCGAGGCUAGAACUGUAUCUGGCACAAGGUAGAUGUUCAGUUAGUAUCUUUUAAAUGAACAGAUGACUCUAGGUCAGUUUCAACAACAAAUAUAUAAUGACCAGCCAAGUUCUUUAUGGAAUUCUUUUCAGUGGAAAUGAACCUUCCACAGGGUUCCUCGGGGUAAGAGGGGUGUAUGGUGGCUGGAGGAUCCCCAGACUUUUUUUUUUUUUUUUUUGCUAUAAAUUACUUUUCCAUAUGAUGGUAUUUACUGGACCAGGAUUUCAGCUCUAGCUGCAAGCUGGCCUAAGGAUAUUUGUCAUGGGGAACUUGGCUGAGAGUUCAACAAUUCUGAAGAUGAUUUCCCCGAAAGGAUCUUGCUGGAACACCAUCCCUUUAAAAGUCCUUAAUCCAGACUGCCUGUUCUGCAGACACUCUCAGAUGCAUUAUUUAAAGUUAUUUCCAGUGGUGCGUGGGUGGGAGGUGGGAGCUACAUUUGUUACUUAGUGGUUUCCAAGAGCCUUCCAGGAUCUCUUUCCUUUUUACCCCUGUGGGUUUGCUGGCUUUUAACCCUUUGCUUGUCACCUGAUAGAACCUCUUAGACUUGGGAACUCAGCAGAAAAUCUCAUAACGGCCUUCAACUGCUGUUGGGUGAAUGUCACACACGUGCUACUCCCUUCUUUGGGGCUGUCUUCUUUACCUUGAGGAAUCAAAGAAUGGCAUUGACUGGCAGUGAACAGCUGCACAGGCUCAGUCAUUCUUGAAGAAGUUCAUAUCUUCAGUGUAAGGCGUUGGUCAUCAGACUUCCGGGGACUGGAGAUCUUUCACUGUAUUUGAAUGAUCUUUCCCAGCGCCCUGCCAACCCUUCACAUCUGUCUGAUGCUUGGGAAGCCUCCUGUAGCGGAUGGAUGGGGACACAGGGGUAGUGAAGGCAGUGGCCGACGGAGGGCGGCUCUCUGUGGAUGGCCCUCUCAGGUCUAGCGCACAGGCAUCUACUCUCUCACUUCCUGGCCUUGCAGGACUGUCGCUUCAGCAUUUUGUCCCCCUCCCCAACGAUUGACAAGUGUCCCUCUGCUUCUCCCUGCCCUCUGGGAUCCCAAGGAUGGGUCUCAAGCACUUGAUGACUGCCUUUUGCUACAGGAGACUGCUUCUUCUUCUCCUUUAUUAAACUACUUAUUUUCACGUUAUUUGAAAGGCAGAGACACAGAUAGAGAUCUUGCAUCUACUGGUUCACUCCCUAACUACCUGUAACAGCCAGGGCUGGGCCAGGAACAUGGAACUCAAUCUGGAUCUCCUUUGUGGGUGGGAGGGUCCCAAGUAUCUGUAUCUAUAAUCUGCUGCCUUCCAGGGUACUUAUUAGCAGGAAGAUUGAUUGGAAAUGGAGGAGCUGGGACUCAAACCAACAUGGCACAUGCAGGAGCCCAUUUCUAAACUUGCAAUAUCUUGUGUCUGGUUUCUCCUGCUUCUGCCAGGUUCUGGGAGAGGGCAAAUGUUACUUGGGGCUGUUCUUUCUCUAUGAGAAUGAUGAUGGAAGAACCAUCUAUACAUCCAUGGAGGGCUGUAAUCUUCAAAUGCAUGGGCACCUAAGUUCCAACUUGGUAGAGAACUGGGCUUCUUUUCUGGACAGCCAUAAUGAAUUCAAGAGCCCUUAGAAAUUCUCCACUUGUAAGCCAGGCAGCCCUAGGAGGCUCGCUUUAAUCAUAAUCCUCAGACCUGGUAUUUCUUUCACCAUCGAGUUAUAGUAGCGCUGGCCUUUGUCCCAUGCUUUAGAAUUGUGACUGUGCUUCACAAACACCCAAAAGUCUCUGAAAACACGGAUUCCUGGACCCUCCUCUGGAGAUUUUAAUUCAGCGAGCCUAAGAAGGAUGAGAAAUCUAUAAUUAAAAAAAAAAAAUCCUUGGCAAUUUUGACAACUAAUCAGGCUUGGGAACCACUGUUGAGAUGAAAAGGUCAUUUUAUAUAUAAUUUUUCAUUUUUCCUCACAACACAUGGGGAAGCUGUUAAGCUCAUUUGUGGACGUGACUCCAAUAUGGUAAAUAACAUAGCCCAAGUCCCCAGGUAAGUGAACGGCACAGCCAAGUCCCCAGCCCAAGCUUUGUCUCCAAAUCUGAUUCUCUUCCCACUGCAGUCUCCGUGGAGAUUCAUCCUCCCAUCUCUCCAUCAUCCUGACAGCUCACCAGCAAAAGCCCAGGUUGCACUCUUCUUUCCUGAGAGCAACCCUGAGCAGGUUAGGAGAAGAGAGAGGGAAGACAGACCCCUGGGAAGCAUCUGAAGCCAUCCUGUGCUUCAUUUGCCUCGACCUGGCGGGCAACAAUGGCCGACAGGCUGAGCGUGCCCCCGGCGGAGGCCUAUCCAUCAGCAGUUGGGCAAGGCAGGGACUGCAGACCAGCUGUGGUGCUCAAACAGAUGUCUGAGCUUAAUUCCAAGAAAGAGUUUUGAAGAGCGUAGAGCAGAAACCACUGGCCGCUGGCAUGGAGCGUUAGUGGUAACUCUUCGCUCUUUCCAUAUGCAUUGUGUUUUGGAACUAGGUCAUUGGGAAGAAACCUCAAAAUCUCAAGUUUCGUUGUAAUAGGAAGGAUGCAGGGUGGCCCUGGAGGGGGCCUGGGAAACUUGGAGUGGAUUUUCUGGUGCUUCUGGUUGCAGCAAUGUCAAUGUGUAAAAGAAAACAAGGUUCUUUGGUGCUGGCCUGUGCUGUGCCUUGGGAGCUCCUGGGGUUGGAGUGCUCACAUUGGGCUGCUAUGCUUGGGAUCUGAGAAGCUGGGGGUUUGAUUUCUCAUUGUUACUUGUGUUCAUUUACAGACACUGUUCCCUAGUGGUUACAAGGCUGGGUUCAGGAGGCAGACUUCCUGGAUUCAAAAUGUGACUCUGGCAUCCACUAGCUUUGCAGUUUAUGUUAUUGUGUCUCAUUGCACUCCUCUGUGAGAUCAUGAUAACCCUGGAACCCAUGUCCUGGGGCUUUGUUGAAGAUUCUUAGAAUAGGGGCAUUAAACAGAAAGGGCUUAAACAGGAGGUGCUGCGUAAGUGGCAGCUGUCACUGCUACUGUUUAGCAGACAUCAAGUCUUGGGUCCACCACUGGAGUAGAGAGGCAACAGGCAGGGGUCCUACCUUGCAGGAGUUCCCAGUUCACUGAGAGACAGAUGCGAGGCAGGUCGCUGCAGGUACAGCUGUAGUGCCAUGGGAGGUGCUGUAAUACAGGAGCACUCAGGGCUGGUGCCGCGGCUCACUAGGCUAAUCCUCCGCCUUGCGGUGCCGGCACACCAGGUUCUAGUCCCGGUCAGGACACCGGAUUCUGUCCCAGUUGCCCCUCUUCCAGUACAGCUCUCUGCUGUGGCCCGGGAGUUCAGUGGAGGAUGGCCCAAAGUGCUUGGGCCCUGCACCCCAUGGGAGACCAGGAUAAGUACCUGGCUCCUGCCUUCGGAUAGGCGCGGUGCGCCGGCCACGGCAGCCAUUGGAGGGUGAACCAACGGUAAAGGAAGACCUUUGUCUCUGUCUCUCUCUCUCUCUCUCACUGUCCACUCUGCCUGUCAAAAAAAAAAAAAAAAAAAAAAAAAAAAAAAAAAAAAAAGGAGCACUCAGGGUGCUGUGGAGAGAAGACAGAAGGCCACAGGGGCUGGGCUGGUCCUCAGCUGGCUCCAGGAGUGGCAUUUGACCCUAGAAAUCCACCAGAGGAAAAAAAGGGAAAGACAUUCCAGGGAGAGGCAACAGCACACAUGAGGCCUGGGCAGGAAAUGGUGUAGCGUGGAGAAUGUGGUGCAUGAAAAGGAGGGGCGGGGUGAGGUGGCGAGGUCAGUGAGCAUGUCAAUGCCUAGGGGCUGGGGCUUCGGCUAAGUCAAAAAGGGCUCUCAGGUCUCAUGGGGGCAUUUGAGCAACAUGGUCAAGUCUGGUUGGUUGGUUUUUCUUUGAAAAGCAAAGCGACAGGGAGAGGCAGAUACAGACAGCCAGGGAAAUCUCCUACCACGUUUCACUCCCCAGAUGCCUGCAACAGCCAGGCUACGGGUGUGACCAGCACCCAGACACUUGGGCUAUCACCUGUUGCCUCCACAAUGCACUUUAGCAGGAAACAGAACCAGGAGCAGAGCCAGGCCCUGAGCUCAGGCAUUCUGACAGGUGGUGCAGGUGCCCCAAGCAGCGUCUUCACUGCUGCUCCAAACGCCUGGCCCUGUAUUUUAAUAAAAUCACUCUGGUUGCUGUGAGGAGCAUGGCAGAUUUAAAAAAUAAAUAAAUAAAUAAGGAAACAAAUGAACCUGAGGACUUGAGUCUCUCACGCUUAGUUAACCACCAUUAAGAGAAGGUCUACAUCUAUGGAAGCCAGCAGGCAAGGAUUUGGAGAUUUGGGUGCUGGUUUUGCCCAUGACAUUCGUGUGGACCUUGAGAAGGGCCCUCCAAGUGUGCUUUUGGUACAGUGAGGAUUGCACGCUCCCUCUCCAGAGCUCAUCUGUAGGAGAUGCAGGAGCCGGGUGCUGUACUUGGCUCUCCUGAGAUGUAGCCUGCUCAGAGGGAAAUGCAGACGCCUUUUCACGUUAACAUUCUCAUGGUUCAAAAAGCAAAAUGAGGGGUGGGCAUUUAGCCUGCUAGUUAAGAUCCUGGUUAAGAUACCCACAUCCCACAUCAGAAUACCUGGAUUUGAUAGCCCAGCUGCCACUUUUGACUCCAGCUUCCUGCAAAUGCAGGUCCUGGGGGGUAGCAGCGAUGGCCCAAGUCACUAGGUCUCUGCCACUCACCUGGGAGAUCUGUGAGUCUGUGGUUCCCAGUUUCUUCCGCUGAGGCCAGUCCUGGCCAUUUGAAUAAGCAGGUGGGAGCUCGCUCUCUCUUUCUCUUUCUGUUCCUCUACCUCUUAACUAAAUGAAUUUGAAUUUUAGAAAAAGAAAACUGAUAGAAAAAUUUACACAUUGACCAAAGUUUGUUUCUACCCUCCGUGCUCAUCCACCUUACUCUCCCCAUAGCUGCCCCAGCAACCCACUCUCACCAGCUUCCUGGGAACACUCCCAGCUUUCUUUAUGCAAAUAGGAGCAAAUGUGGAUAUCUGUUCUUACUAUGCCCCCUUUCUUAUGUACAUAUGGGCACUUUUGGAGUAGGUACCAAGUACAGCCACAUACUCUCUGAGGAAUAAAAAAUCAUACUCUUAAGGGGUUCCUCACUGGCCCCGUUAUUCCUUCUGGAAUGAAAUCAAGGGAAAAGAAUCAUGGCCAUGACUUUGCCUGCCUGCUCUGUAAAACUGGGACAGUAUUCUGUCUACUUUGACUUCCCUGUGGGACAGUUGCAAUAAUUUCACACUUGUGCACUGCUCUUGGCUUUCUGACAGGACAGGUUCUGAGAGUGGUGCUGUUUUGAUAAUUUCUCAACUAAGUGCAAAGGUACUCCAAAAAGUCCACGUAAGAACAAAAUUCCAAGAUGUGCAUUCCGGGGCAAAGAUUUUUAAAAUCCAUACAUGAUUUUUUCAGAAUAUGGAUUUUCCAUGAACAUUUGCAAGACUUUUGUAUGCAAGCACUUCAAACUUUUUUUUGCACCAAAGCAAAAUUGUCUUUUAAUUCCAUUUUCCAUGAAUGUUUUGAAAUAACCCUGUCCUUCAUCUUGUUCACUGGCCUCCAGACUUAAAGAGAAUUUAACCUGCUAAUUGUUAACAAGUUUUUUCCUCCCCUCCAGCUUUUCCUUUGCAAACUUCCGAGCCUUAAUUAGCAACCCCCAUCUCCACCAGGGCCAUGUGCAUCUGAUUUUAAGCCGCAUCCUGCCGGAGCCUCCUGCUGUACACAUGUGGCUGCCAGCGCUCCCCCUGGUAUCUGUAGCAAAGCUCUUUAUUUUUUUUUUUCCACCACGUGUGCUGAGCCACACAGAAGCUUAAAGACUCCAAGUCACGGCACAGCAGUGAGCCAGUGCUGGCUGUAAUUACCUGUAAUUGCAAAGUCCCCCCCCCAGCCCAGCCCCCCACUCAUCCAGACAGGGUGUCUUCGCUCACUGUGGAACGUUUCCUGCAUCCUCUAAGGGUUGCUGGCCAGGCCCAGAGGAAGGAAGUUGUCUGUGGGUGGGGGUGGGGUGGGGCUCCAUGCUUUCCAAGAUGCUUUCAGUUCUGAAAUUACCCUCCAGUGACAUCUUCCUCCAGGACGGCCUGUCCCAAGGUAGGCAGCUAACCAUUCCACCCUGGAGGAAAAGGAUUGGUGGUGCUGUUGUCUGCAAACCACAGAGCCUGGGUGGUGUUUUGAAAGGGAUUUGGGGUGUGUUACACUGGGAAGCUACCUGAGGCCAUGUUUUUAGAGCCUGGUUCCUAGGAGGAGCACAGAGCCACUUCUUUCAGAUGUGGGCUUGGCCAAGAUUCAAAACAUUGCCAGCUUUGUGAGUGGGAGAAAUCCACGUCCCACUCAAGGACCCAGGGAGACUCUGGACAUUUCACCCUCCCCACACAACCAGACGGGACAGCACCGGCCCACAUUCCCCAUCCUGAAGUCUCACAGCCCCCGUCUAAGGACAUCCACCUUGAUGGGGACCAUCUCCCGCCAUGUGGAGGCAGAACUGUGUAGUUGUCAUCCUAGGUGGAUCCACACAGUGUUCCCAGGAAGAUGCAGAAUCAUUGAGUCCACGUAAGGAACAAGCUCACCCUAUGGGCUUCUCUCAGGGAAGACUGACUCUGGGGGAAACUCUGGAUGUCCACUGGGAGAUGCUUGGUCCAUUGGCACACUCAUCUUUUUGCCCUUUUUCUUUUAUGGAAAGACCACUGCUUGUGAUGUUGCUCUUCAGGUAGAUGGGGCAUUGGGAAUCAAGCAUAGCUGAUGGACAGAGUUCGUUUUGAGAAGUGGGAAACUCAGAAGGGCUGGCGUUUCAUGCAGAGAUUCAGAUGCUGCUAGGAAUGCCUGCAUCCCAUGUCAGAGUGUCUGAGUUCAAGCCCCAGUUCCGCUCUCCAUUCUAACUUCUUUGUCGUGCACACUUCGGAAGCAGCAGGCGAUGGUUCAAAUACCUGGGUCCCUGCCACCCAUGUGGGAGACCACAUUGAGUUCCUGGCUCCUGGGUUUGGCCUGGCUCAGUCCAAAUAUGAGCAUCUGGGGAAUGAACCAGCAGAGGGGCCCUCUCUGUCUCUCUCGCUCUUGCUCUCUCCCUCUUUCUUUAACUCUGUCUUUCUCUCUCGUCUCUCUGCCUUACCGCAUAAAUAAAAUUAACUUAAAACAACAACAACAACAGAAGCUCAUAGAUUGGGGCCACCAGCCUGAUGUCUACAUCUUAGGUCUGAGCUGUUAAACUCAACCACAUCUUUUAUCAUUGGAGCACUCGCCUCUCCAGCGAGACACUUGUAAUCCCUCGCCUAGCACAGGGUCUUCCUCCUUGUGGGCAUUCAAGAGUUGGUUUUUGGAUGGCUGGCGCUGCGGCUCACUUGGCUAAUCCUCUGCCUGUGGCGCCAGCACCCCGGGUUCUAGUCCUGGUUGGGGCUCUGGAUUCUGUCCCGGCUGCUCCUCUUCCAGUCCAGCUCUCUGCUGUGGCCUGGGUAGUGCAGUGGAGGAUGGCCCAAGUGCUUGGGCCCUGCACCCUCAUGGGAGACCAGGAAGAAGCACCUGGCUCUUGGCUUCAGAUUGGUGCAGCACCAGCCGUAGCGGCCAUUUCGGGGGUGAACCAAUGGAAGGAAGACCUUUCACUCCGUCUCUCUCUCCCUCUCACUGUCUAACUCUGCCUGUCAAAUAAAUAAAUAAAUAAAUAAAUAAAAGAGUUGGUUGUUGGAUUGGAUCCUUCACCCAACAAUGUUGACCGCCUACGGUGUGCCCCCACACAGUGAUAGAAUCUGCUGAUGCCAGCUUAAGAGAUGGCUAUUCCCCAUAGUUUAGAAUCUAGGACGAGGGGCAUCUAUCUGUGCACUCCCAAUGUCUACCACAGUGGCAGAAACGUCACUGUCACUUGGUGACUCACAAGCUUUGCAUCAAUGCAUGUCAGAGCUGGAGGGUCUUAGGGACUACUGGGUCCCUCCCUCUCACAUCAGGAAUGAAGAAAGCUGCCCAAGGCCACCCAGUCAAGCAGGGAAAUCAGAGCGAUCAGUCCGUAGUCCCUGCUGUCAACUCUGUCACUGCACACAGCUUGGGCUUGGCCUCUAACUAGAAAGAUCAAAUAGUGAAAGGUGGAGGCAGUACCAGAAAGGGCAGGAGCCACUUUCAUUGCAAGUCUACUGUGGCUCAGUGACCUAAAUCCUGUAAGUCCUGGGAAGCUCUGGACACCGCUUCUCAGACUUGGACUGCAGAGUGAGCUACUCACAAGCAGCAGGAGCCGCAUGGCCUGCAGCGCCCACCGCGACCUCCUUCUCAAGGGCCAGACCUCUAGGAAGCUGGAAGAUUUUGACCUUGUGACUCUAUUCUUGCUUAGAAUAAGGUGCAUGAGAGGUUCUGGUACUUGGACCACAUGCAAGGGCUUUCUGUCCUGCCAAAGACAGGCCAGGACCUUGUUUGAUUCAAGCAAGCUAACUCAAAAGACAUUUUUGAGAUAAUCAGGGAAAAAUGGAUAUGGAGCUGAUAUCCGAUGACAUUGGAGAAUGGUUGAAAAUGUUAGAUGUGAUAAUGGCAGGUGAUUAGGUAAAAGAGAAAACGUUCUUUAUCAGAGAUGCAUGCUGAUGUCUAGGUUGUUUUAGAAUAGGAAAGAAAAAAAUAUUUAAAAGUGCUUUCGGGUGACAUGGUAUGACAUGUGGGAUUUGCUUUAAAAGAUCCCAGAAUAAAGGCCAGCGUCCCAUAUGGGCACCAGUUUGAGUCCCAGCUGCUUCACUUCCAAUCCAUCUCCCUGCUAAUGCAGCUGAGAAAGCAGCAAGUCCAUGGGGCCCUCAAGUCCAUGAGGCCCUCGUGGGAGACCCGGAAGAAGCUCCUGGCUCCUGACUUUGGCCUGGCCCAGCUGGCCAUUUGAGGAGUGAACCAGUGGAUGGAAAACCUUUCUGUCUCUCCUUCUCUCUCUCAGUAACUCUGCUUUUCAAAUAAAAUAAAUCUUUUUAAAAAAAAAGUCAGAAUAAAAGUUAUGGAAUAGGUAAACAAUUUGGCAAAAUAUUGAUAACUAAUUAUUGAAGCUGGGUGAUGGAUACAUUUGUUAUAGCAUACUCUCCACUUUUGUAUACAUUUGGAAAUUUUCAGAUUAGAAGGUCUGAAAAGACAGGGUCCAGAUCUCUCCUCUUGCCCCCCGCCAGGGUGCCACCCCUUCCAGGCAGGGUGGAGACUUGUACUGCAAUGGCAGACACGAUGAAAUUGGUGCUCCUGGGGCCCCACAGUCAUUGGCUGGAGUCUCUGGUUAUCUUAGAUGACACCUGAAAGGGCUGGAACACUUCACAUAAACUUAUUUAUUCAAGGGCCCUUAUGGCAUCAGCCAGCACCCUGUAUCUCAUCCCUGUCCUGUCUGUGGAAGCUUCUUCCUCCCCAGCCAGGUGAAGUCCAGUGCAAUUUACCAUUUGUACCUCUAGUCCAUCUGUGCUUGAGACUGGGCUCCCUAGAGAGGCCCAGGCUAAGCCAAGCCCCCCAGUAGAGCUGUUGCACAUGUUGCCAACACCACAUAUCACAUGGUCGUGCACCAGAGCUCAUCCCUCCAGCCCACCCAUGGUGCUACGAAUUCCUGAGUUCUCACUCACCUCUAUCCCUGCCUGUCCUCUUCCUCCCUGACAAAGAAAGGAUCGCUACAUCUGCCCCGUCAUGGUUGCAGAAGGAUCGCAAGUCAGCCAUAGCCAAUAUAGGGAUUUGACUGUUACUUGUUCGUUUCGCUUUGUCCUCUCCUGGCAUGUUUGUUCAUGAAGUCGUUGACCCCGCUCUGCCCAUGGAUAAGAGCACUCUAUAUUGAUUUUCCCUACAGCCGUGCCCUUUAGUACAGAGGGAAGAGCCCUUAGGUUCAAUGAGAUAUGCUCAUCUGGAGCCUGUGUAUGUGCACACACACACACACACACACACACCACCGUGCUCUGGAAAUUCAGAACCCAAAUGACUAGGAACUUGCAACCUGUGUCUCCUCAUUUCCAGUGCCUCAGAGCUAGACACCCCUAACCCCCGGGAUGACCAAGGAGCAGCUGUUUGUGGGGAUGUGGACAGAAAUUUGAUCUCUCCUGGGGUCCUCACACACAUGUAGGUGAGGCUUCUCAUAGUCCCCAAAGAAGCCAGGGUAGGGUAUAAAGUAGAUGGGGGCAGACCUCAGGUGGAGGAACAGCUGCUGGCUCUUCCCAAACUGCCGUGUUCUCAGACCGAAUGCCAAGGAAUGCUGUUAUAAAGGGGUAUUGGUCAAGGUAGGGAGUGAGGACAUAUUUUAUCCACAAGUUGUUUGGGUGGCUUUAUGAAUGUCAAACAUUUAGGCAUUAGGUCUGUUGGCUCUCUUUUAUACCCUUGUCCAGACCCUGUAUAUCUUAUAUCUUAGGGAUCUAUUUCCCAAUGGAGACUCAGGAAUUUCACUCCCAGCUGCACUUCAUCUUUUUCCUUAAGGACAGUUUGUGUUCUCCUGUGGUAUUUCCUGCAACUUAUAAAAUACAAUUUGUAAAGCCCUGUUGUCCACCCCUGAAUUCCUGUGUUUAUAAUGGAGGUAAAAUCAUGGCUUGUCUUCCCAUAUUCCCAUCCCCAGAAAGUCUUGGUUACAUAAGCUAAUAAGCUCUUUUCAAAAAGCCUUAAAGUAUGGGGUGCUUGUGUGUGCCAACAACGUUAUCUUAAAAAGCUUCCUCUGAAAUUUUCUAUGUUCAUUCAAAGAGACUGGCCAUGUUCUGGACUCUACUGAGUAGGUAUCAGCUAAAAGACCUAAAAUGUUGAGCUACUUUUUAAUCAUAUUUGCUCAAAAUGGCUCCUUCUGUUCAGAUAAUGGCAGAAUCCCAGCUUUCCUCACUCCAGUGAAAUGUUGUCAUUUCUCUUAAUGACUAUAUUGAGAUUCCUGAUUACUUUUGGUACACCCAUCGAACAGAAAGGUUUUGUAGACCUUGAGCGAAGGUCUUCCACCCACAUUGCUUCCAUAAUUGGCCUUCCUCUCUUGAAAGACCCAAAGCCCUUGUGCUAAAUGGAAAUGCAGGAGGACUGUGGAUAUGGGGAAGGGGAAGAGGGUAGGGUGGACAAAUGGAUGACUUCAUACACAACAGAAAUUGUGCUCUUCCUUUGCACUACAACACAAACCUUAACUGCUUCCAGCUCACUCCAUCUCGAGCCCCAAGUAAACUUUAAUCUCAGUGAUCACAAAUGCAAGUGCUUUCUUCAAGCUCCAUUAUUUCUGGUGGUUCCUGGUGCCCAGUUUAAUAAACGCAUUCAGGAUGAGAUGUCUGGCGGUGACUGGAGACUGGAGGAGGUUAUUGACUUUGGAAAGGGGAGUCUUUUUUUUUUUUUUUUUUUUUUUUUUUUUUUGACAGGCAGAGUUAGACAGUGAGAGAAAGACAGAAAGGUCUUCCUUCCGUUGGUUCAUCCCCCAAAUAGCCGCUAUGGCCAGCGUGCUGCGCCGAUCCAAAGCCAGGAGCCAGGUGCUUCCUCCUUGUCUCCCAUGCGGGUGUAGGGCCCAAGCACUUGGACCAUCCUCCACUGCACUACCCAGGCCACAGCAGAGAUCUGGACUGGAAGAGGAGCAACUGGGACAGAACCAGCGCCCCAACCAGGAAUAGAACCCAGAGUGCCAGCGCCGCAGGCGGAGGAUUAGCCUAGCAGCGCCGGCAAAGGGGAGUCUUAACAUCAACAAAAGUGUCUGUGAUAAGUCACAAGAAACAAACCCCAGCCAUCCAGUUGGCCUGCUUAUAGGGUUCAGAUUGGCUGAUCCGAGGGUCCAGACCCUGGCUGGACAGCUGAGGAGAAAGGAGAAGCCUCAGGAUGAUUCCACUGUGUUCUGACCCGAUCUUUUGGCCUGAGCAGUGUUCACAGAUUUCCUAGUCAAUGAUGGCCUCCAACGUGCCACUGGGCUGGGCACCAGCUGUCCAGAUCGGCCAGUGGUGCUGUUGUCAGUGUGCGUCAUCCUGCACAGCUCCAUAGCCUGCAGCUGUAGUGCGCUUCACACGCAGACCCCACUGCAGCCACUGCCUGGACUCACAUCUUGAAAUAACUCCUCAUCACUGGAUGAGUAUUUUAAGAUACAGCUUUCAUCAAGAAGGUGCCAUUAGAGUAGUUCCAGUAGAGUGAAUAAUCAUUCUCCCCUCUCAUCAGCCUUGUUUGUCGUACAGAAUGCUGAUGAAUUCACGUCUCACUUUUUUAGCACUAUCUGGACAAAAAACAAAAACCCUCAGAGAAAGGAUCCUGCAUCAAUGUCAAAAAGUUUCCCUCUGCAUUUUUAUUAUCUGUCUUUUCUGGGUCAGCAUUUCUCUUUAUGGCUUUCCUUAUCACAGUUUUUUCUGACUUCCUGUUUCCUACCAAGCUUGAUAUAAACUCAUUUUGUCUUUCCUUAAGCCAUCCAGUACUGAACUUUUGCCCUUUUUGGAAGCCAAUAUUUUUCUGCACCUUCUUUUUCACUAUGCACUUGAAGGUCACAGUUACUCAGAAUAUUUUGACAACCUUCAAUUAUUUGCACUUAGGGGGUUAAGUAAGACAUUGGAGGAAUCUGGGAUAAUACUCAGUAGCAUGCAUUCCCUUUUUGUGUAUUUGUCCUUGAAAUGUACUUAAAAUCUUAUUUUUAGUCACUAGUCUGCUUCAUUUGCAAUUCCUAUACAUACAGUAGAAAGGCAACAAAAUCUACAGGGGAUAACUCACCGACACGUGGAUAAGGGAAAGUUGGUGUACUAUAACCCUUCUCUAACUUUCUCCAACUUGUCAGAAAGACAGGCUAAAUAAGCAAUCUCCUAGUUGAGGAAAGAAAGGAAGUGCUAGACAGAAAGGAGGGCCUGUUCUGCCAGCUUGACUCACACGGACCCAGUCUUCACUCCUGUAGUUAUUCAGCACUUAUUGAGCACCUAAUGUAUGAUAGGUGCUGCAGAUUCAAAAAGGCAGAAGGCAUUGUCCUAUCUUCUUUGAGUUCAUAACUGAAAGCACAGUAUGACCAAUGCCCAGACAUAUAAGAGAGUUCCCAGUAGGAGUAACCCUAACUGCACUACAACUCACCAAGAAGUGUUUGAUUUGGAUAGAGGAACAUAUGUAGAAGACGUCUAUGUGUGGAAAUGGAGAAGCAGUGUUCUAGGAAGAGAGCCCAGCAUAUGUAAAGCCAGGGAAGGAAACAAUGUAUUGAGGGAGGGAGAGUCCAGUAGCGUGGACUGUAGGGCACACAGGAGGAACAUGGUAGGCUUGAGCCUACCAAAGGGGAUUUGGACACCUCCAUAGAGCACCUUGGAUGCCAUGUGAAAAGCAUUUUAUACUGUAGGUAACAGGACAUCCCUGAAUGUUUAAGUUGCAUUUAAGUUUUAGAAUAAUAACUUUGACAGUGAUGUGCAUGGUGUAUAAGAGGAGAGAACGGACAGAAACCAGAGUUGAUUUGCCAGGUAAGAGACGAAGAUCUUGUUUUCCUCCAAGGCAGUGGAGGUGCAGUUGUGGGGAAGGAGAUGUAGUCCAGUCCAGGUAGGAUAUUUUAGCACCCGAUAGGGGAAUGGACAUAAGGCAGAUGGCAAGGAUGAGAAUGCCUCCUAAUUUCUGGUUGUUUUAAUACUGCAGCCAAUUUUCAAAGUGCACGGAUGAAAAGGUCUACUGCUCGGGCCCUACACAUACUGCUUCUCAGUGUUCCUCCACCCCCUUUCAGAAAUGGGUAACUCAUCCCUAGAGCUUUGGGAGGACACAACCUCAUUCCACAUUCCAAUACUUUGAGGUCUGAAGACCUGUCAGGCGUAACACUCGGGCUUCUUUCUUUUUAAUUCAGUAAACAUAUGGUGAUGUUAGAAGAAUGAAGAUCUAGUCCUUUCCCCCUAAGAAGCUCAUACAGUAAGCUCAUACGUGAAGUUCAUGGAGGAGCAAGACAGAUAAAACACUAAAUUCUAACCCGGGCAGAAUGAGAAAUCAGUGACUAGGGGACCAUGGAGAGAAGGCCAGGAUAAUUCAGGAAGAUUUCACAUAGAGGGUGAUAUUUUGGGGAGGUUGUUGAUUUUUACUGAGGCUCUGCCAAUGUAGAGGCACGGAGAAUAAGUAAUUACAAGCAGAAUGAAUGUUGGGAAAGAGACGCGCAGAGUACCAUGAAAAUGUGGAACUGGGAGAUUAAUCAAAAGGAUCAAGGAGAGCUGAGACAGGAAAGGUGGGCAAAUACUGGCACAAGAUAGGGGAGGAGAGUCCCAAAGAGAGAACUGCGUGCUCACUCGCUCUGUGAGAAAAUGUGUCAUACUUAAGGAACUGGAAGAAAUUGAAUGUGGCCUGAGCAAAUGGAUGAGGAAGGAGAGUGACCCAAAGCAAGGCAGAGAGGGGCCAGAAAGUAGAUCAUGCACAGCCCAUUAGCCAUGGAAGGUUCUAGAACUUUGUCCUGAGGGGAAGGGGGAGCUACUAUGAUGUUUUAAGCCAAAGAGUGUAUGAUUAUUGCAUAGUUAGAGACUAAAUUGGAAAAGACAAAACUGAAACAGCAGAUCCCCUAGGAAACUGUCAGACUAGUGAAGUGAAAGGUGACAGAGAAUCAAAGAGAACUAAAGUGGAAGACUCAGACUGGACUAAGCGGGUAACUAAAUGAGAGGUGUGACAGAAAGGGAGACGUCAAGGAUGGAUCUUAGGUUUCUAACUUGGGAAAUGAAAUAGAUUUUGUGUCAAUAACCAGGAGAAUAUGGAGAGAGGCAAGGCUUGGGGGGCGGGGCAGAGAAGAGAGCUCAAUUCUUGAACACGAUGUUUAGCGCAAACAAGUUAUUCAAAUAGAGAUUCCCAGUAAGAAACAGGUUGUGGGAGCCCAAAGGAUGAGGGAGAGACACCAGUGGGAUCUAGAGAUUUGAGCAUUCUAGGCUGUAGGAGUUAGAGUUCUAGCUUGAGAGAGGCUAGGAUCUCCUAGAGAGCAUGAGUAGAAUGCAAAGAGAAGGACUCGAGGCUCCCUUGAAGAGCAGCAAUCCAGAGAGCUCAGCACAGGAAGCUGUGAAGGAGCAGCUAGGAAACCAGCAGAAGGAAAAGCAGAGACUACUGUCAGGGGAGUACAGGCAGAGAGCAAAGGAGCGUCGGGAAUGGGGAAUGCUGCUGAGAGUUCCAGAGAGAAUGGCAUUCAAGAAGCCCAUUGGAUAGAAUGGGUGAUUCAAAUCCUCGCUGCUACUGACUGAGUGGCCUUAGACAGGUUAUGAAUUUUACGUUGAGCCUCAUCUGUAAGCUAGAACGAUUGUAUAGUAUUUAGAGCAGCAUUUAAAGGGUCAAUGAACACCAACCAUUAUUGUUUAGUAACAUGAAUAACUACUGGGGACUUAAUUAGAAGCAGGGUUAGUGGUGAAAUUCCAAAUAACAGUGACUUUUUCCAGAGGGAAAAGUGAGAUUGGAUGCAAAGGAGGAACUGGCAGGGACAAGACAGGAUUUAGGAGAAGGGUAGAUUGUCUUUCAAGGACAGACUUGAGUCGAAGGCCCUGCUGUGUGGCUCAUACAACAUGAGAGAGGACAUGGUCAGUGUGACAGUUGGGAAGAUGCAACAAGAGCUAUGGUGGGAAGUGAGCCUGUAGAGAAUAUUACUUUAGUGAGUCUGAAUAUUUGAAUUUUCACUCUGUAAAUGUAAAGAAACCACUGUCGGUUUUAAAGGAGUGGAAAGUUUAACUCAACUUGUUUGGGGAAAAUCAACAGUAGAGAGAAAAAUGGGUCAUAGCAGCGAGAGAUUUAUAUACCAGCCAUCUGCACUGUGGUUACUACUGGGAGACAUGAAAAAACACCCAGGCAUCUACUUUGGUGACCUUGCCUCAUGGUGACACAGUUUACCCAUCAAUAAGACAGAGAUCCUUCUCUCUGGAGUUAUUAUGAGUGCUACCAUUUAUGUCAAGUAGGAUGGUACUUGAUAUUCAGUAAGAGGUUCUUUAUUUUUAAUUUUUUUAAAGAUUUAUUUAUUUAUUUGAAAGUCAGAGAUACAGAGAGAGGAGAGGCAGAUAUAUAUAUAUGUGUAUAUAUAUAUAUAUAUAUAGAGAGAGAGAGAGAGAGAGAGAGAGGUCUUCCAUGCGAUGGUUCACUCCCCAAUUGGCCACAACAGCCGGAGCUGUGCCAAUCCGAAGCCAGGAGCCAGGAGCUUCUUCCGGAUCUCCCACGUGGGUGCAGGGGCCCAAGGACUUGGGCCAUCUGCUGCUGCUUUCCCAGGCCAUAGCAGAGAGCUGGAUCAGAAGUGGAGCAGCCGGGCCUCAAACCAGCGCCCAUAUGGGAUACCAGUGCUUCAGGCCAAGGCAUUAACCCACUGUGCCACAGCACAAGCCCCAGUAAGAGCUUCUAUCAAUACCCUUUUCCCAGCGCCAUGCUCCUCCCACUCCCUCACUCUCAGUAGUAAUUCAAAUUUCUUGUUCUCUUCUGAUGUUUGGGAAACAUCAGUUUGCUUCCUAACUUUGUUAUACUGAAGGAAAACAAUCUUCCAGAAAAUUUCCUUUCAAGAGUAGGGCUAAAAUUACAUCUCUGCUCAAUCUCUGAUUUGGCAAAUGGACAUUUGCUCUAUACCAAAUUGUCUCAAUGCAAGGGGUGUGUGUGUGUGUGUGUGUGUGUGUGUGUGUGUGUGUGUGUUUGGGGCUGGGCAAUGGCCUAAAGUAUCACUUUCCUAUUGAGUUUUUAAGGCAUUGACCUACAAAUGGGUAAUAUACCCUUCCUGGGCAGAGAGAAAAACCCUGAUACCGUUCCCCUAACUUCUUGCCCAAAGUUCUCCUUUCAUCCUGUCUCCCACGAGAGCUGAUCUGGUUACAAUCAUUUCUACCCAGAAAUAAUGGGGUCAUGGAAAAUCUGUGCUACGGAUUUUAUUUCCACAAAGCCAUAUGCCCCAUACAUCCCGCCAUCUUCACAGAUGCCAUUUGAUUCCAUUUUGUUUUAUUCACUCAAUAAAUAUUUAUUGAGUGUGUGCCCGUGCCUGGCAUUGGCAGCGCGAGGAGGAUUUGCAGUAGUCGGCUCUGCACUCUGAAUGCAUCCAUACUGUGUGGCAAAGCAAGCCCUCGAGACUCUUUUCAGUAGAAGGUGAGUAGGUUAAGUAGGAGCCGGUGAUGGGCUGAGUUAGUCGGUGGGGAUUGGGAGGCUGCGAGGAAACAUUUCCGCAAAUCUGAUGUUUGCACUGAGUCUUGAAAUGUGAGCUGCUUUUCCCAAGUGAAGAGAAGGGGAAAGGCUUCCUGAUGAAAUGUUUGCUGGACUAAGAACAGCUGGCGCUGAAGGGGGUAAAUUGUUAAUUGUCCCAGGACUAGGACGCCAGAGGCUGUUACUGAGAGCUCAGUACUGUAGUUUCUCCCCACUCCCAUCCCGCCCUGUAUCCAUGGGCCAUCGGUCUCAGGACAGCUCCACCCCACCCAAGAUUCCAAAAUUCACAGGGGCUCAAGCCCCUCCUAUAAAUGGGGUAGCAUUGUCAUGGACCCUCCACACAUCCCCCUACUUCACAUCAUCUCUGGACUCCUCGGGAUACCUAAUGUACUGUAAACACUAUGUGAGUCAUCACUGCACACUGUGGUUUAGGGAAUGACAAAAGAAGUCUGUACCUGUUGAGCACAGACAAUUUUGUUUCCAAAUGUUUUCCACCUGCUGCUGGCUGAAUCCAAGGAUGCAGAGCCUGCAGACAGGAAGGGCCUAUGUGUGGUGCCAAAUGCUUCACUCUCUUGACUCACUGGACAGCCAUACAAGGUCAGUCCUACUAUUAUUCCCAUUUUACAUGGGAUAUAGCUGAUGCUUAGGGUAAGGUUGGGGGGCUGGUGCUGUGGCUCACUUGGUUAAUCCUCUGCCUGUGGCGCCAGCAUCCCAUAUGGGCGCUGGUACUGGUCAUGGUUGCUCCUCUUCCAGUCCAGCUCUCUGCUGUAGCCCUGGAGGGCAGUGGAGGAUGGCCCAAGUGCUUGGGACCUGCACCCACAAGGGAGACCUGGAGGAGGCACCUGGCUCCUGGCUUCAGAUCGGCACAGUGCUGGCCAUAGCAGCCAUUUGGGGAGUGAACCAACAGAAGGAAGACCUUUCUCUCUGUCUCUCUCUCUCUCACUGUCUAUAUCUCUACCUGUCAAAUAAAAAAAAGGGUAGUGUUGGAAUGUAAGCUGUCUACACUCCAAGGUCAGUGCUUAUGAGCCACCCUGUGCACAAGGCUUGGGGCAUGCAGGGUAAGGGGGCAAGCUGAAGGCGGAAAGGUAGACUGAGGCCAGCAUGAGGUACUGCAUACUGAGCAAGGGGUUGUUUUUGACAAACAUCUUUGCAUGAUUAUUUUCUACGAAAAUGCAGUUGUGUUAUUUUUAAAGUGAAGUAGAACCAAUUAUGUAGGCCAUUUUUUAGCUGAAGUCCUGCAUUAGUGGGAGAUGAUAAUUAUGGAAAUGAGAUGGGUGAGUUGGAAUUAAUAGUCUAAUUUGCAAUAAAUUGUUCUUAGGGAUUUUGAUUCCUGUAUGCUUAAAAAUGUGUGCUUAUGUAUAAGUGGAUUUUCAGUCAUCAAAGUAAACCCCGAUAACAUAAAAACAUUUUCAAAUUAGUAGCCCUUUUCACCUUAAAAAUCAAUGACGCUUAUUUUCCAUUAAAAUAUUUGGAGAUUCAGGUUGGCCGUAAGCUCUCAGUUCAUCGAAGAGCUAAAGCUGGGAUGAUGUGGUUCCAAUUUCUAUAGGAACUUGCACAGAGUAAACUCCCUAUUCAAUUUCCUUCCAGUUCGAAGAACGUUUUCCUGUCCUGUAUUUUUUUCCUUUCAGUGAACUGUAAAAUUUUUCAACGUGAUCCUAGUACAGAUAUAUCCAUGAAGUGCUUCAGAUGGUAAAAGCAAACCCCAAGAUACAAAUCCUCAACACAGCAGACUUGCAUUGGCUGUUUACUAAUAAGUAAACCCUGGGAUUAUUUGGGUUCAGUGAGUGAGCAUAACCAAAGAUCAGGCCUGCUUCAUUUCAAGCCUGCCCACCUAAGAUCUAAGUUCACGGAGGGGUCUGUCCUUGUCCCACUCCACGGGAGCAGGGUAAGUCACCGAAUGCGCCACACUGAAAGUCUUUGCUGUGCCUCUGAUGGGAAUGCUGGCCCAUUGGGAAGACAAGGCCCAGGGAAAGUCUGCUUGGGAGAGCAGGGAUCUGUCAGCGCGGAGGGAGGCCGGCUGCUCUCUUUCUCCCCCUAAGGCCCCACAACCAUGAACUUGCUGAACUUGUGUGGCCUGGCUGCCUUGAGGCCUCUUCCGCAGUCAGCAGCCCUGUGUCCCUCCUCCCGCGGGUUCUGCUUCCUGCACCCUUUUUGCUGACCGAGGAAACCAGCCUUGAGCAAUUCCUGGGGAUCUCACUGGACUCAAGCUGUCCAGCUCCCCCUGCACACGCUCCUCCCCUUGACACACCCCUGCUUGGAACCCAGGCCACUUCCACCGCUGGCAAGCUGGAAUGUAGGGCCUGUCUAGCCCCACAGAGCAGUAGAAUCUGAGCACUCCUUCCCUGCCUUCCCACAAAUGCACACCAACAGCAGCCCCUGGGGUCGCGUGGGGUCCAGGGUCAUCUCAGGCAUCCGCUUCCUCUCAGCAGGCGGAUUCCUCCUCACUUGUCAGCCAGCGGUCACAGCCUCUGACCCCAGGGACCACGCAAGCCUGGCAGGGUCGGGAAAAAGGUGGGGCUUGGAGAAAGAGGGAAAGGGAAGAGCCAAGAAAUGCUCCCCAGUGGAGCCGCCUCUCAUCUCGGUCCCGAAGAUUUCCAGGAAAAGCAAAUUUUCCAGGGAAGCAAAUUCACUGCCUGUCACCUCUGAUGUCCCAUUUCACAGGCCCCGGCCGUUCCAUAUGAGAAACCUAAAAGGAAGAGAAUUGUGAAAACAGGCCAUGCUGUGACGGUGCAAGUGCUAGCCCAGCGGAAAAAGCCCAGUCUGCUCUGGUUGCUGGGUCCCUUCCUGUGUCCCUGCAGCCACGUGUACCCGGUGUCGUGGGCUGGUUGGUGACGGCCGCCUGCCAGCACCCUCCCCCCGCCCCGCACCCUCUGUGGCAGUAAAAGUGCACAGAGGGCUCUCCCCUCAGCCUCAGACCACGGAGGCCACGUUCCAUUGCAAGGUCACUGUUGAUGGAAAAGGUGUUUAAUCACUUUUCGCAGACAAGAGAGCAAUUGUCACUCACCCCUAGAAACUGACUGCGCCCGCCCCCACUUAGUCUCUCUCCUGUAACUGUCUCAGGCAGUGAGAGCACUCGAGGGGAGGGUCCUGCCUGCUGAACAGAGUGUGGCACAGUGAGCUCUGUGUGAGCGCAGAGUGAGCGCCUCCCCUGCCCUGGGCUGAGCCUCAGUGCCCCCAGCCAGCGGCGCCGCUUGCUUCUCUCCUUAGUCUUCUCGCCUUCCAGCUGCCUUCCAGCUUUUGCUCUGUCUGUUCCCAUGCACCUGGCUCCCUCCUAGGCACCUGCAGUAUUCUUAGGCAAAAUAGGAAGUAAAGGCGAUGCUAGUCUUGACCAUGAGAGAUGGGAUCCUGAACUCCACUUCAGGGAACAAGUAUAGUCUCUUUGCUCUCAGCUUCCUCUUCCGUAAAUUGGGUGUACUUUCAACCUCCCAGAGCUGUACUGAGGACUGAAGGAGAGGCUGGUGAUGAACAAACUUUGCAAAGCACCAAGUCCUGCAAGGAUUCUGAGAUGAGAAAGCAAAUCUCUGGUCUAUUGCAUUUUGGGCAGGACACAAAAGAGUCUUUUUGCUUUGCAGAGAAGUGAGUAGCAGGGGGCCUGAGGGGGAGCAGCAGGCACCAGUUAGUCCAGGAAGGCCCUGGAAGAGAUUGUUCCUAAGGAGAAGGCGCUUGGUCUCCCUCCCAAAAAACCGCUGGCUGCAGGAGACAUGCAGUUUGACCCGGGUGGCUGCCAGGAACCUUCCUAGCCAGCACGGAUAGACCUGGGGUCUGGGCCAGCACCAGACCUCCUGCAGCCCAGCUCUCCCGGCUGUGUCGGAGACGAGGUACCCGCAAGAUGGCCCUUUUGAAUCCAGCCCGUGCACCUGGGCCCCUUUACUGCAGGUCUCGCUUCAGCGGCCCCUCCCCAACCCUCCCCGUGCAGGCUUCCUGUUUUGAAACCGCCAAUAGAUGGAAAAUGUGAGUGCCGCCGCUCGAACGGCUCAGGCUGUGUGAGUGUGCGCAUGCAUGAGUGUGCAUGUGUGAGGGUGAGUGUGGCAGCGUGUGUCUGCAGGGCGAGGUGUGUGUGUGUGCAUGUGAGUGAGCAGGUGCCUUUGUGUGGUAACGACUGUGUUGAGUGAGGACACAGGCCUGCAUUGUGUGUGCGUGUUUGAAUACGUUCAUCUGUGUGGCUGUGUUUGUGUGUUUAUGUGAGUGUGUAGCCUUGUGUGAGUGAUCUAUAUGUGUGACUGUGUGUUGGAUGAGUGUGAGCACAUGUGUAUGCUUGUGUGGGUCUGUGAUGGUGUCUGUGAUCAUACGUGUUACUGUAUGUGUAUGGCCAUGUGUAUGUUGUAUGAGGGUGUGUGGGUGUGCCCAUGUGUGUGUUGUGAUCAUGUAUUGUAUGAAAGUGAUUUGUGUGAUUAUGUGUGUGUUGUGUGAAUGUGAUCAUGCAUGUCACUCUGUAUUUUGUGUGAACAGUGUGUGUGAGUAUGUGACUGUGUGUGAGACUGGAUAUGAGUGUGAUGUAUAUGACUGUGUGUUGUGCGAUCAUGUGUGUGACUGCACGUGUAACUGCAUAUUGUGUUAGUAUGAUUGUGUGUCUGAGUGACUGUGUGUGCCUGUGCAUAUCGUGUGAGUGUCAUGCGUGAGAGACGAGCUGUGAGUGUGCGUGUGAUCACGUGCGUGGAUGUGUGUGCUGUGUGAGCCUGUGUGUGAGUAAGCGUGAGUGUGAGCGUGCAGCACAGCAUGGGGAAGGGCAGCUGAGGUGCAGGCUUGCCCUGCAGGGGACACCAGAUUGGGCGUGGCGGGGUGGCGAGGAGCUGAGUGGCACGAGGCAGGAUCAGUAAAGUGAGCAUCUGCAGGCCCGGCAGGAGGGCUGCCAGGCCGCGCCAUCACCUCUCAGCUGACACAAAGGGCUUUGUAGUUCCUAAGCUUUCAAACGGGAAUAAUUUCUAAUCACUCCCGAAGCAGCUUCUUGAGGAACUAGACCACAGACUGGACCAGACUCUAAUUCGUGCUGGCUUGAAGGACAGGCAGAGGCUCGCCACCAUUUCUUUGUCCCAGUCCCUGGCACAGUUCCUGGCAGGUGGCGGGGUACAAUGAGUUUACAUGGCAAGCAUUCUUGGGGUGCUUGCUCUGUACCAAGGAUUGUGUAGGCUCUUGGGAUCCAGCACAGACCAUAGAAAAGCCCCUGCUAUCCGGUGGCUGACAGUGCUGGGGAGCGACACUGGCCACGGCGUGAACACACACAUGCAUGUAAACAUGUCAGCUACUGUCACUGUUGGAUGGAAGAAUGGGUUCCUUUUAAGGAUUUCUCCAUAGCUAUUGGAUGAGGCUUUGGCUUUUGCUGGCUAUGGGCAGGAAAAAAGACCAUAAUAAAUAUGUCAUUUCUUAUCUACAAAGAUAAUAUUGUUGCCCCAUAGGUUUUUUUUCUUUUUUUAUUAUUAUUUAUUUGACAGGUACAGUAGACAGUGAGAGAGAGAGACAGAGAGAAAGGUCUUCCUUCCAUUGAUUCACUCCCCGAAUGGCCACCACGGCUGGCGCUGAGCCAAUCCAAAGCCAGGAGCCAGGUGCUUCUUCCUGGUCUCCCAUGCGGGCACAGGGGCCCAAGGACUUGGGCCAUCCUCCACUGCCCUCCUUGGCCACAGCAGAGAGCUGGACUGGAAAAGGAGGAGCCGGGACUAGAACCUGGCACCCAUAUGGGACGCUGGUGUCGCAGGCAGAGGAUUAACCAAGUGAGCCACGGCGCCGACCCGCCCCAUAGGUUUUUGAAACCAAAAAUUUCCCCCUAUGAGAAAAUACAAAUGGGAAGGCUUCUUCUGCCCACAUGCUCCCCUACUCCUUGCUGGCCGUCUCGUAACUUCUUGCACCUUGGUUCCCAUCUCCCAUUGCACCUGCUGUUCCUUCUCCCUUCUUGUCCAGAUGGCAAAACUCCUCUCACGCGUCAAGGUCCAGCUCAAAUCCUGCUCCCUCUGUGGGCAGAGUUAAUCUUUCUUCUUGGGGUUCCACCAGCAUGCUUUAUAUGACCAGGGGGGCCAUGUGCCUCACGAGCAAUGUCGCCUCAACUAAGCUGGUUAAGGCCACAGGUUCUGCUUGGUCUCUCACUGGAAUUUCCAGAGCCGGGUGCAAGGUGCCAGCACAUGUGGGGUGCAUGCAUGAGUUGGGAGACAGAUGGAUGUUAGUUGAAUGUCCAUUUGCCACCUUUGCAUAAGGAAAGACACCCAGUCCAUCCUUCAUAACCACGGGCUCCACUUCUGUAAAUUCAACCAACCACAAAUCAAAAAUAUUCGUAGAAAAAAAUUGCAUAUAUACUGCACAUGUACAUUUUUUCUUAUCAUUACUCAUAAACAAUGCAUAUGACAACUAUCACAUAGCAUCACACUGUAUUAGGUAUUACAAGGAAUUUAGAGAUGAUUUAAACUAUACAAGAACAUGGCCAUAGGUUAUAUGUAAAUUCUACACCAUUUUCUAUGCGACUUGCGCAUCUGCAGAUUUGGAUCCAAACCCCCAUGAAUACCAGGAGACAAGUGUACUCCAAAGAGUCGGCAGGCCAGGCUGAAGGGUACAGACCAAGGCCCAGGGCUGGUGCUACGGAUAGAGUUUAGCAGUGGCUGCCAUGGGCUCUGAGCUGCUUUUGCAUUUUUAUAAAUUACCUGGAAGAGGAGGUUCAGAGUGAAACUUGCACAUCUGUAGAUCACAGAGCCCUUUUUGUAAUGAUGUUUCAAGAAAAUAGGGCAGACAUGGGGAGUCAGGGCAGGGGAGAUCUCCUAAGACGUGGUGGGCAGGGGCCAGCACUGUGGCACAACAGCUUAAAGCCCUGGCCUGAAGUGCCGGCAUCCCAUAUGGGUGCUGGUUCUAGUCCUGGCUCCUCUUCUGAUCCAGCUCUCUGCUAUGGCCUGGGAUAGCAGUACAAGAUGGUCCAAGUGCUUGGGCCCCUGCACCCAAAUGGGAGACCCAGAAGAAGCUCCUGUCUCCUGGCUUCAGAUAGGCAUAGCUCCGGCCAUUGUGGCCCUCGGGGGAGUGAACCAGCGGAUGGAAGACCUCUCUCUCUGUCUCUACCUCUCUCUCUAACUCUGUCUCUUGUCUGGUGGACAGACAAGUAGAAAGUGGCUUCAGCAUGGGCAAACUCAAAGCCCACAUGGAGGCAAACUCUGCCUGAAGCAUAUGAUGUUGCCUUGGGCUGAUUAACAUUGGCCAGAAGGAACAAGAACCUGAGAGUGAGGGAGUAAAGUACCUACUAUGUGCUUGUUUCAUGCUCAGGACUAUGUACCUCCUACCCUGAAGACCUCAGAGCAUGAUGGAGAAUCCUACCAACACAGUGGGCAAACAGGUGUGGAAGGAAGCAAUCAGAGCAAAGACUGGCCAGCGCUAAGACUGGUGGGACGGGCCACGGCCCUCAGAGGACUGUCUGGGGUGGGCACAGCAGGGGAGGCUUCACUCACUCCAUCUUCAUUUUGUGAAUAGUUCAGGGCAUUUACUGCAUGCUCCAUUCUGAAGGCACAAAGUGAGACACAGAGCCUUAUCUCUAAGAAGCCUACAGUCCCCUGUGGGUUAUAGAUAGGGAGGGGGCGGGGGUCCCCAGGGAGACAUGAUUCCGAAAGGAAGCUCUGGAAGGACUCUACGGAGGAGGUAAAGCCUUGGUUUAGUCUUAAAAAAAAAAAAUCAUCCAUUAAGUUAAUUAGGCAGAAGAGAGGAGGGGUGGACAACGGAAGAGCAAGGCAGGCUCAACAGAGAGAACAGCAGAGUCUGCUCGGGCAGCUGCAGAGGUUCCUCUGGCUGAAGUGAGGCUGCAAGGUCAGGGCCAUGGCAGGAGAGGCAAGAAGGCCGACUGAGCCUGCACUAGCUGUGGCCAGGGCCUCAGGAUGCCUCGGAAAGAGUUGAAGCAAGACGGUGGCAUGAAGAUGGCUCUGGACUCGAUGGAAGGUGACCUGGGACUUGAGGAAAUGGAGGGAGGGUGAAGCCAACACCCAAGGGGCACCUACAGAGUGAGCAUUUGACCCAGUGGUUAAGAUGCCGGUUAAGACAUCCUCAUCCCACAUCCAAAGUACCUGGGUCCGAUUCUCAACACCAGCCUCUUGCUAAUGCAGACCCUGGGACACAGUGGCCAUGGCUUGAGUGAUUGGGUCCCUGCCACCUGCAUAGGAAACAAGGAUUGAGUGCCCACCUUCUGGCUUCAGCCUGGCCCAGCCCUGGCCAUAGACAGCAUUCGGGGAGUUAACCAGCAGGAAAGAGCUAGCACAUACUCCCUCUCUCUCCUCUCCUCUAAUAAGUAAAUUAAAAUUUAAAGGCAUCCAACAAGAGUUAUGCAUUGGGCAUCAAAUGAAUGGAUCAGCCUGGUAACAUCAGCCAGUGACACUUUGGGAAGUGUCCUCUCACCAAACUCACAGGGUACCCUGAAAGCAGCCGUGCUGUGCUCAGUGCCUAGAAGCCCACUGGACAGGAGGGAGAGAAGUGCCCCAGAGUCAUGGGUCCCGAGCCACACGGAGGCUCUGGGACCCGGGCAAUUGUCCGACUUGCCCAAGUCCCUUUUGAAGCUGCUGUGACAAUCGAAUGAGAGAACUAUGUGGUGGUUUAGACUUCUACACAGGAAGAGGUGCAAAGAGGCUGGAGAGGCCCCGAGAAGGGCUCUGGGCUGACUCCUGGAGGUUAGGAAGGUUCCUGCGCAGACACAGGAGCCAUCGGAGCUGUUGAGUCUGGGACGAACAAAAGGAGCCAGUUUCACAGUACUGAGGCAGAGGCGCCACGGUCAACCUAAGAUCUGGAAAUUGCCUUGGGCAAGCUAAUUUAGCCUCUCUAAGCCUCGGUUUCCUUGUUUGUGGAAAGGGGAAUGACAGUGAUGAGCUUGGUCUUGCAAGGAUCAACUGGUCUCAUAACAAACGACCUAAUUGCCGUGAAGAUUAAAUGACCCGAUGCAGGGGAAGAGGAACAACAAGUGACACAGGACACACACUCAAUUAGCCAUCAGCUAUGAAACCCUGAACUUGAAGUUCUGUACAUGCAUUGUCCUGAUCUGCAAAAUGAGGCGAACGUACCUCCCUUGUGCUUGAAGAAAUACAUGGUGGCAAAUAAUCAAAGGCAGAGCGACCUCACACAGAGACUGAAACUGAUGAUGUCAGUCAUCCCCCACCCCCACAAAAAUCCACGGGGUAACUCCAGACUGUCCCUGUGCACGUGGGCAUGGAACUGGAGCAGAGAGCAGCUGCCCCUUUUCUUCAUUGUUUUAACUUUUUAUUGUGGAAAUUAUCCAGCAUUCACAAAAGUAGAGAGAACAUAAUAAGCCCCUAGGUACCCUCAUUCAGCUUCAGUAAUUAUCAACACAUGGCCAAUCUUGUCUCGUUCCAGCUGCCUUCCUUAGGCCGUGGCUACCCCAGCUCCCGCUUGCAGCAGCCUCAUUCAGUGAACACAGAGAGUAGCAACUGAAGUAUCAUUUCAUCUGGCUUUAGCCUUCCGCCCACCGGGCUAGAUCAUUUAAGUUUAUGCCGUUUACCCUCAUGAAGCAUUGCCUGAGGUUUUUAUCUUCUCUUUCAUUCCUCCCUGAAUAUUUCCAUCUCCUCCCCGCCCACAAUAGAUUUUUGAACCCAGAACAAGACACAGGAGGCUUUGUGAAGGUCAAGGCAAGGACCACAGUGACAUGAGACUAAAUGCAUGGCCCACUUCUGCUCUUGAAAGACCCAAACGAUGCCCUAGUCCCCAGGUCCCUUGCACAUAUUAGUGCUUCCUACUGAUUGGUGCCAGUGAGGGAGUAAAGGCGUGGAAAGAAGAGAGAAGGAGAGCCCUCGAUUGUGGCUGUGGCUUGCAUGGGACCUGGGCCCGCUAUGUAUUCUCAUGGUCCCUGCACAGUGCACGCCCCACACUGAAUAGUGGUAUGUUGAUUGUCACUGAGAGAGGAAGAGCCUCCUGCUGACACAUGGAAAAUACUCAGGUUGAAUCCCUUGUGGCUUUUGCUGUUGUCAGAAACCCUCCGCUGAGAUACAGCUGAACCAUGGGCUGCAUGUCUUUAGUUGGUGUCUAAUUUGUGGGGCUGGCGGCCUGAAAUGUAGUUACUGCAAAUGAUCCUAAUCUCUGAGCUGAAUUUCAGAGUGGAUCUGCUUUGACGGAUGCCAUAAUUACGUGCAGCAGGUACUUAUUAUGCAUUUACUAUAUGCAAAGCACUUCUCGUAUUGGCAACACUUGCCCAAAGCCGAGGACGUAAUGACAGUCAUUUGCACUUGCAUUGUGCUUUGCAUCUCUCAUCUAGAAUAUUAACAGAGACAAGUUCAUUGAGUGCCCAUGUGUGCCAGGCAUUGUGGCUGUAAAAGCCUCUAAAAGCUCUCCAUGUAGAGUCACCAUUCUCUGCUGUUAGAUGAGAAGCUGAGGGUUAGCCGGGUCUCACAGGUUACCCAAGAGCCACACCACCGGUGAGCAGCUGAACAGAAUUCAACUCCAGGUUUGCCCAUCACUCGGCCCCAUGGGUUUGACCACUACUCCACACUGUGCUCUAGCUUAAAUGAUAACGUUGUGUCAUGAUCAGCAUUCUUCUACUUUUUAUUUAUUUAUUUAUUUAUUUUUGACAGGCAGAGUGGACAGUGAGAGAGACAGAGAGAAAGGUCUUCCUUUGCCGUUGGUUCACCCUCCAAUGGCCGCCUCAGCCUGUGUGCUGCGGCCGGCGCACCGCGCUCAUCCAAUGGCAGGAGCCAGGUACUUCUCCUGGUCUCCCAUGGGGUGCAGGGCCCAAGGACUUGGGCCAUCCUCCACUGCACUCCCUGGCCACAGCAGAGAGCUGGCCUGGAAGAGGGGCAACCGGGACAGAAUCCGGUGCCCCUUCUGGGACUAGAACCUGGUGUGCCGGCGCCGCAAGGCGGAGGAUUAGCCUAGUGAGCCGCGGCGCCGGCUCCAUUCUUCUACUUUUAUGAUGUCAUACCAAUGCCCAAAGUGGUUUUUCCCCAACUGUCAGUCAGUAAGUAGCAUAGGCAAGCCUCGAAGCCAGAGCCUUGGCUCGUAGUCACUGUGUUUCUCAGUCAGGGAUUGUGUCCGUCCCAAAUGCCCGUUGCUGAGAUGGGGCUCAAUUGCAGGGUCCCGAUCUUCCUUCCUUCCGGCAUACUUCUCAGGCUGGUUAGGGGGGUGGGGCAUUCUCUACACCUGCGUGCAAACCUCUCCGCUCAGCCAGUGCUCUGCUUGCUAAAGGCACCUGCCUAAUUACAUCACCCUCAUGAAGUAGGGGGCCACAGCCCAGCCAUUCUCUUACAGUGUAAAGAAAGGGGGAAGCUGUUCUUCCCUGAGGAGUCGGAGGAAGUGAUUCACCUGGUGGUUGCUAAUCUCACUUCUGCAUUUUGUGGCACAUCGAGACUGAGCCAGUGGCCUGCUUUUGUUUUCAGGUCCUAGUCAGAGCUCCUCUGCUGUCAGCCUAGGGGAGCUGGGGACAAGUCACUUGAACAUGGAGCCCCUGUUGUCCGCCAAUAAACUUCGAGUAUUUAUCCCUCCAGUCAUCCUCUUUGGAAGGUUGGAGAAGCAGACAACCGCGCUUUGAGAUGCUGGGAGGAAAGAUACAGCAACACAUUUCAUUAUCACUGAGUAGGGUCCAUGGAGCACUGACAGUGUGGUCACUGAGCUAGAAUUGGGUGAACAUCUGGCAAGAGAGACGGGCACCUGCAGGCAGGCAGGCAGGAAGCACUGUACUCCAUGCUCAGGCUUUGGACUAGGUUGAUCACCAUGCUCCCCUGCCUCUCACUUGGGAGGACACUGCGUCAUCUACUGCAGUGCUUGGCCGAGAACAAGCACCUUGUAGGUCACACUUCCAGCAGUGAUCUCAUCACAGUCCCACGUUGGACAUGACGCUGUUCUACAGGUGAGACAGCAGGGCCCCCCAGAGUGAAAGCCCACUUCUCUUGCUCAAAGGACCGUCUUCUGGAAGCUCCUGGGGGGAGGGCUGUCACAGCCCGAGGAGCUAAUGAGACUUCGGUGGACUCGGCUCCUUCGGGUCCCUCCCAGCCCUCCAGGGUCUGUCCACCUGAGGCUCAUUCCAGGCUCCGACCAGUUGUGACUUGUCCGGGAGGUGCUGGCAGUCUGGCUGUCAGCUGGCUUCCACAAAGCCACCUGCUGGCUCCAGUCUGCUGUAUAAUUAGGUGUUUUAAUUGGCUCUGUUUGUACUCAGCCAGGACUGUUGUGCUGGCCGAGGCCUGACACCGACAGUGUGGCCCAGCUGCACCUCUGUUCUCCCAGGAGAAUGGUGUUCAUUAUGAAGGGGUGGAGGCUGGGGUCACACACCCAGGUCGCCUGCAUUGGACAGGGAGCCUGGGCUCAUCUUGCCAACUCAUCUUGGCUGAUAAUGAUGCCCCACUUCUCCUUAGAAUGCCACUUUGAAGUUGUUGGACUCCACAUCACACCCGUCAUUACUAGGCCUCUUCUUCGCCAUGCCAGCCUUCUCUACAUGAGAAGGAAGAAUCAUGCAGAUCUGAUCCACGGUGAGACCAGUGUUGCAACAAAAGGGAGUCAGAUCUGGAGAGUACAGCUGCAUUAAAACUCUAUCUAUGGUUCUUUGGGCUGGAAAUGUUUCAGCCUAAAUAAUAAAAAAAAAAAAAAGGAGAAAUGAAUUAUCAAUAAACAAGGAAUCUGAGGUUUUUGUAAGAAAAAAUGGAAUCCAUAGAGGAAAAGCACAGUCCACCUGUACAAAGCUGGUUAAA